UGCUAAUACAAAGGAACGAGCAAAAGGAGAAAAAAGAAAAAAAAGAAACAAAAAUGUUAACUUGAUCGUCAUUUUCAUUUUUAUCAUCAAAGAGCCAAACACUGUCCAUACAAAUGUCAGACUCUUGUCCACUUCAAUUGCAACCUCUAAGUUAUCACACUAAAUUACUAAUUUAUACAGGUAAAUGUACUACUUGACCUUUCAGUGUUUCGUAGGGUUGAGUGAAAUGCUGUUAGUAUUGAAAAAGGUAAAUGAAUGAAUUGAAUAAACAUCUAGUUUGUUAAUUAUUUUCAAUUUACUUGUAUGGUUUACCAUUGAGCUGUUAAUGAGAUGGAAAACAAAUGCGUAAACAAAAUAUUGAUUCAUUGAAUGUUUACCUGGAUAAUUUCAAUGUUCAACAAUUACGUAAACUGUUCAAUGUUCAGCAUUUGUCUAACAUGCAAAACAAAAAAAUUGCUCUUGCAUUAUUUAAGGCAAAAUUGCAACUUCUCCAGCAAUCAUUUUCCAAUUUGAUAACAAUACUAAUUCAUGUAAUCUUUUCCUUUUAAUUAACAGCUAUUACGGAUAAAAUUACAAGCUUUAAGCACAAGAGAUGAAUUAAUUAAAGCUUAAAUCACUAUUAACAUGGGACUUGUUAAGUAACAAACUAGCAUUAACACUUUAUUGUGUCAAAUAAUAAUGAAGCUAAUGGGACUAAUGGUUGAAACUGUGUUGAUCAAUGCUGUUAAUCAAGCAAACCAAUGACAAUCAGCUCAUCUACUUUUAGCUAAAGACAGAUAAUUUUGGUAAAUGUUGAUUUCAACUGGAACAAAUUAACUUGUUGAUUAACCUAAAUUUUGGAUAUUUUGGUCAUUCAAUUCGUUAGGCUAACUGAAUUCAAUUUGAUUAGAAGAUUGAUUGUUGAUCCAGCAAGUUUUCAGGUUACCUUGGCUGUAAAGUUAAGCCUGAUUAAGUCCUAUUAUUGGACUAAAUCAUUCAAUUAUUUAACCUUUCCUAUAGAGAUUCAAUUAUUCAAGCCAAACUAAUCUAGUUAAAAUACCUUUCUAAUAAAGUUGACAAUCAAAUUGAGAAAAGCAAAAAUGUGAUUCACUUUUUGCUUGGCUUACACUUGAACAUAUUUA